UUGUAAUGGUAAAAUACCUAUUUGUAAGAAACUGCAAACAAAUGCAAAUGUGCAGUCGAUGUGUGGAAUGCGACAACAUUAUACUCGAUAAUUUCAAUUAUUGCGAGUGUUGUGGCUUAGAAACAAUUAGGCAGUUAAGAAUAAACAAGGCUCGGGCACUAUCAAACCUUUUUCCUAAAAAGCAAAAAGCUGCUUCUGCUGCUUCACAAGAUUUAUUUGAUGACUUUCAGGUUGAUAACGAAGAGUUGACGCUAAUCGAGGAUUCAUUGAUGAUUGAUGAUGCUUCUUCGGACAACAAGAAAAAACAGCUACUGUCAGUCAGCAGUGAUGAUGCUUCUUCGGACAACAAGGAAAAACAGCUGCUGUCAGUCAGCAGUGAUUUUAUUUCUUUAGAAGAAGAAGAGAAAGAAAACAUAUCAAAUGGCGGGCAGACCCCCGAAAAAACAUUUAUCCAUGGACAGUGGCAACCACGAAUAUCUCAGUCAGCGGCUGAUAAAGUAAUUGCAAGGAUGUAUAAUUAUUCCUUUUCUGAUCGGGAACGAUAUUAUCUCCGGCUAUUACUUCUUCACGUCAAAGGGCCGACUUGCUUCAGAGAUGUUAGAACUUAUUAAUAUG